GACGAACGCUGGCGGCGUGCCUAAUACAUGCAAGUAGAACGCUGAAGGAGGAGCUUGCUUCUCUGGAUGAGUUGCGAACGGGUGAGUAACGCGUAGGUAACCUGCCUGGUAGCGGGGGAUAACUAUUGGAAACGAUAGCUAAUACCGCAUAAUAGUAGAUGUUGCAUGACAUUUGCUUAAAAGGUGCAAUUGCAUCACUACCAGAUGGACCUGCGUUGUAUUAGCUAGUUGGUGAGGUAACGGCUCACCAAGGCGACGAUACAUAGCCGACCUGAGAGGGUGAUCGGCCACACUGGGACUGAGACACGGCCCAGACUCCUACGGGAGGCAGCAGUAGGGAAUCUUCGGCAAUGGACGGAAGUCUGACCGAGCAACGCCGCGUGAGUGAAUAAGGUUUUCGGAUCGUAAAGCUCUGUUGUAAGAGAAGAACGAGUGUGAGAGUGGAAAGUUCACACUGUGACGGUAUCUUACCAGAAAGGGACGGCUAACUACGUG
rnacentral:rRNA from 1 species